GGGGUUGUGGCUCACUGGUAGAGCACUCGCCUGGCAUGUGCGAGGCCCUGGGUUUGAUCCUCAGCACCACCU
rnacentral:tRNA from 1 species